rnacentral:rRNA from 1 species
UAGGGAAUCUUCGGCAAUGGACGAAAGUCUGACCGAGCAACGCCGCGUGAGUGAAGAAGGUUUUCGGAUCGUAAAACUCUGUUGGUAGAGAAGAACGUUGGUGAGAGUGGAAAGCUCAUCAAGUGAGGUAACUACCCAGAAAGGGACGGCUAACUACGUGCUAG